UGAAUAGCUUUAUUCCUAGACAGUAAGGCCUCCAUCUGGGUGACAUGUGCAUGCCUGAAUCUCAGGACUCUCAGAAGCUGAGGCAUGAGGAUGGCCAGUUCAAGCCUACCAGGUUAAUUUAAUGAUUUAGCAAGACCCUGACUCAAAAUAUAAAAUAAAAAAGGACUGGAAAUAUCAGUCUGUGCAACCACUACAGGUUUAAUCUUCAGUACUGCAAAAAACAAAAAGAAAAGAAGAUAGAAGAAAGAAGAAAGAAGGAGAAGGAGAAGGAGGAGGGGAAAGAAGGAGAAGGAGAAGAAGAUGGUAAAACCUCAAAACCCAAAGGUGGGAUGGUCCUGACUGCUGUAGAAUAUUCCCCGUUUAUAUCUGUUGUUACAACCCAGUUAUUAAUGGUGCCACAUUUUAUUCCCAGACAAUGCCUGGCUGGGAUAGCCCACGAUGCGCCUAUUUAGUGUUGACAGAGGAAAUCCUGCCUCAUGAGUCGGGUGCUCUCUCCUGUUGGAGGGCGCUCAGGAGCAGCCCUAGGGCCUGAGCCUCCUCUGCCCAUGCGGCGAGAAGGAAACAGCCCACUGGACACUGCCGUGAGCUGCAGUGAUGCUGAAUCAUGCAGCAUUUCCCAAAAAGUUUUCCUGGAUGCCACAGAUUAUCUCACUCUUCUUGACUGCUGUUUCUCUUCAGUAUCUGAUUUUUUAAAAAUCCCUCAUCUGCUAAUUUGCCUGUAAGGACAAUGACCCUGAAAGCAGCACUGAUGUUUGCCAGGCGCCUUCCUGAAUGUUCACAAGAAGCAACCUGUCUAAUCCUUAGCACGGACUAAGUGAUAGCACCUACACUGACACAGAUAACAGUGUAUUGUAUUUGUGCUGUUGACAUUAUCUACCUUCCCGCCUGGCCUGUCAGCUUCUCAAGAAUUGGAAGCUUAUCUCUUAUCUCUUUGGUAUCUCAGCUUCCUCCAAUGCAGUAGGAAUUCAAAGGAGUAAACUGUUGAAGAGAGCCCCUAAUUUUGCUCCUGAUCUCAUAAAGACAGGCUCUUAAAACUGAAUAUGUGUAAGUACUACGAAGGCCACCAAGUCCCGGAAAUGUCAUCAGGUCCAGAACGGAAGAUCCUAUGACGAGGAAAAUGGUAAGUAUGUGGGAUCUGCUGUUUUGAGAGCUCAUCAGUGCUUCUUGUGAAACACCGGAAGCAUGCUCAGCAUUUGUGUAAAAGAGGAAG
rnacentral:lncRNA from 1 species